UGGAGAGCAGGUUCCCGCCCCGCAGCCGCCCAUUGGCUCUCCGCAGGUGCCAAUUAAUAUCUCUUCCUUGUAGCUGGCUGGAAAAGGCGGCGGAGAGAGUGGGGGGGCAUUGGGGCGCGCAUCGCUGUGGACGCCUGUGGCCGUUAGAGCCCCGCGCCGCAGGGCUGUCGCGGCAGCGGUCGGAGAGCGGUUUUAACGCCCGGGAGCGGUGAAGGCUUCGCUUUUCCUCCCGCUCGCAGGGCGGGCUCCCUGAGGAACGUGGUGCCCGCUGGCACCGCCGUGCGGCACAGGCGGUGGCUUUGCUGCCCAGCUGCCGACCUGCUCGGGGGGACCGCGGAGCUCCAGCCCGAGUUGGCCAAGGGCAGUCUCUACCAUAGCGCUGAUGUGGCCGAGGCACGCAGGGCCGCAGCGCACCUGAGCGGUAUCGCGGGGAGCAGGGUCAGAGUUUCCAUCCCGUCGGCUCUUCUCGGUGCCGCUCUGGCUCCUCGCCGUCCCGGGACAGCCCGCUCUAAGGACGGCGUGCGCUCCGGGUCAACGGGCAGAGCUGCGCUGCAGUCCUGGUGGUGCUAUCGUCCUCCUGACCGCGAGUCUCACGCUAGGCUGCGUGCACCGGCCCGGACGCCAAGGCUUCAUCUACUCUUUCACUAGGCGGAUGACUCAUUAACUUAAGGACUUGUAGGAAUUUAGAUUAGACCGUGUGAGCACAGCACCGGG